ensembl:lncRNA
AAAAGUCUCAUCUGCACAUAGUCUGUUUGCAUGUUUUUGAUUUUUUUUUUCUUUUAUUAGCUUAUUUCCAUGUGGUUUCUUAAGGUAAUUCUCGAUCUUGCCUCAGAAAAAUCAUAAGGCUGCCAUAUGGGUGCAUAAUCAGGCCAAAGAAAAUAAGAAAAUGUGAGGCUCACAGACCUCUAAUAUUAUCAAGAACAUCACUCUGCAUGUGGAAGCUUUGGUACAUUUCAAUCAGUUUGGAAGGUCAGCCAGAAAAAUGGAGAAGACAAAUUGUUUACAUUUACCCCUAAAACAAAUGCAUAUACCUAGAUUAAACUAAUUUCACUUACUGCUUUAUUAUUGCAAUAUGAGCUGCACAUCUAAAAACCAUCUGCAUGCAGAAAAAUAGGGCAUUGCUAGAUACCAGAUUAAGAAUAAAAAAGUGAAGAAGGAUAAGAAUGUAUGCUGGGCUCUUCAAGGAAGAAGGCAUGGGAAAAAGAGUGUUCAUUUGGGAAAAGCUCAGCUUGCUCUAUUGCAAUGACCUUCACUCAUGCUCUGCAUCUGCAAACUCAGUGACAACAUCUUUGCUUUUUUUAUAUUCAUACUACUUGUGUACACUGCCCAAAUUAAUCAUAGUAUACAAUAUCUUACAGCAGUCUGAAAAAGCUCACUAGUUCAAAAGUCACAGAUUGAUAGAAGCGCUGAGAAAUAAUAAAGCUCAACACGCUUGUUGCAGUAGACAGUGAUGUGAUCAUUGUAGCUCUGAUUCAUGCAUUACAUCUUCUGUUUUUCAUUCCAUAUGUUGCUGCCGAAUGUCCAGCCCAAGGAAGCUAUGUGUCGGGACAUAUUUCAUUGUGCUUUUCUAUUGAUUGUAUGGAAUGCAAGCAGAAUUCCUGCAAGAUAGCAAACUACUUCAGAAAAAUCAUGAGCAAAGGCAGAUGAGCCUACGUCUCCUCCCAAGCCUCCUGCUGCCAACAGAUCCCAGGUAAAUUGAGGCAUAAGGAUUCCUCCAAUCUAAAUAGAAUUAAUGAGAAGAAAGUUGAAGAAAACACAGAAGAUCAACAUUCCA